AUUCCAGCUCCAAUAGCGUAUAUUAAAGUUGUUGCAGUUAAAAAGCUCGUAGUUGGACUUGUGCGGUACCCUCGAUGUCCAUUCGUGGUACGUUCUGGGGGUCCGCAUCCUUGGGUGGAACCUGUGUGGCAUUAGGUUGUCGUGCAGGGGAUGCUCAUCGUUUACUGUGAAAAAAUUAGAGUGUUCAAAGCAGGCUUAUGCCGUUGAAUAUAUUAGCACGGAAUAAUAAGAUAGGACCUUGGUACUAUUUUGUUGGUUUGCGCACCGAGGUAAUGAUUAACAGGGACAGUUGGGGGUAUUCGUAUUCCAUUGUCAGAGGUGAAAUUCUUGGAUUUCUGGAAGACGAACUACUGCGAAAGCAUUUACCAAGGAUGUUUUCAUUA
rnacentral:rRNA from 1 species